rnacentral:rRNA from 1 species
GUCUACGGCCAUGCUACCCUGAAGAAGCCCAAUCCUGUCUGAUCUUGGAAGCUAAGCAGGAUCAGGCCUGGUUGGGAGACUAUCUAGGAAGACCAGGUGCUGUAGGUG